GAGCAAACAUGGAAUUAUUUCAAUUCAGGUACGCUUUGCUCGGAUUUUUGGCAACAGGGUGAAGCCAACCCUUGAACAAAUGAUCUUUUUCCCAAGCAUGACGCUUUUUUAGGAUUUGGAGCUUCACCUUUUUCAUUAUCAUUUACGGAUGAACAACCAUCAUCAGCAUCGCUAUCGCUUUCCAACAUGUUCAUAGCGACGUUGCUUUUUGAUCCUUCGACAUUUUUGUUAAAUAAAAACUCAAAACAGGACAAAGUAGCGGGAAAAACACAGCAAAUUAAUUUUAGUUUAACAUAAUUUAUGUAAUAUGCAAAUAAUUUAACU